rnacentral:rRNA from 1 species
CCUACGGGUGGCAGCAGUGAGGAAUAUUGGUCAAUGGACGAGAGUCUGAACCAGCCAAGCAGCGUGAAGGAUGACUGCCCUCUGGGUUGUAAACUUCUUUUAUAUGGGAAUAAAAUGUUCCACGUGUGGGAUUAUGUAUGUACCAUAUGAAUAAGGAUCGGCUAACUCCGUGCCAGCAGCCGCGGUAAUACGGAGGAUACGAGCGUUCUCCGGAUUUAUUGGGAUGAAAGGGAGCGUAGGUGGAUUGGUAAGUCAGUUGUGAAAGUAUGCGGCUCAACCGUAAUAUUGCAGUUGGAACUGGCAGUCUUGAGGGCAGUAGGGGUAGGCGGAAUUCGUGGUGUAGCGGUGAAAUGCUUAGAUAUCACGAAGAACUCCGAUGGCGAAGGCAGCUCACUGGACUGCAACUGACACUGAGGCUCGAAAGUGUGGGUAUCAAACAGGAUUAGAUACCCUUGUAGUC